GACGAACGCUGGCGGCGUGCUUAACACAUGCAAGUCGAACGGAAAGGCCCUGCUUUUGUGGGGUGCUCGAGUGGCGAACGGGUGAGUAACACGUGAGUAACCUGCCCUUGACUUUGGGAUAACUUCAGGAAACUGGGGCGAAUACCGGAUAGGAGCUCCUGCUGCAUGGUGGGGGUUGGAAAGUUUCGGCGGUUGGGGAUGGACUAGCGGCUUAUCAGCUUGUUGGUGGGGUAGUGGCUUACCAAGGCUUUGACGGGUAGCCGGCCUGAGAGGGUGACCGGCCACAUGGGUACUGAGAUACGGCCCAGACGCCUACGGGAGGCAGCAGUGGGGAAUAUUGCACAAUGGGCGGAAGCCUGAUGCAGCAACGCCGCGUGCGGGAUGACGGCCUUCGGGUUGUAAACCGCUUUCGCCUGUGACGAAGCGUGAGUGACGGUAAUGGGUAAAGAAGCACCGGCUAACUACGUG
rnacentral:rRNA from 1 species